rnacentral:miRNA from 1 species
GUGGAUAAAGUUUCCUUGCGAA